rnacentral:rRNA from 1 species
UACGUAGGGGGCAAGCGUUGUCCGGAAUCAUUGGGCGUAAAGAGCAUGUAGGCGGCUCGAUAAGUCUGCUGUGAAAGUCCAGGGCUCAACCCUGGAAGGCCGGUGGAAACUGUCGGGCUAGAGUCCGGAAGAGGCGAGUGGAAUUCCCGGUGUAGCGGUGAAAUGCGCAGAUAUCGGGAGGAACACCAAUGGCGAAGGCAGCUCGCUGGGACGGUACUGACGCUGAGACGCGAAAGCGUGGGGAGCAAACAGG